rnacentral:ncRNA from 2 species
UGGGCGGGAGGGAAUGAAGUUCUCCCGGGGGAAACCUGAACCGCUUUUUGAGCUGAUGACUUCUGUGAUAUG